AGUUCACAAUAACUGGUCACCGGAAGUUUAUCAGUAUGGGAAAAACACCAGCUCGGCAUAUACCCGAUUGAAUUCUGCUUAAUGUUAGCCUAAACGAGAAACUGUUAUACUAAAGUUUGCUUUGUUUUAAAGAGUUUUUGUGAAUCACUCAGUCUAUUUAUCGUCGUCAUCCAGACAGUGAUUGUAGAGUGAAUGUUGAAUUAAACAUUUAUUUAUUUGUAUAUGUAGAUGUGCCACUUUUUGAAUAAACUAGAUUCAGGUUGUGUUUGUUAAUAUUUGGGGUGUUUUUUAUGAGAGCAGGCUUCCAUUUGUUGUGCAGGAUGAGUGAUGUUGAAUUGAGUGUAUACGACCAUCAGUGUUGCCAACUAUUUCCAAGAGGAGGGGAGACUGCAGACUUGGAUCCGGACAGAUCUACGGCCUAAGCAGUUUUACGUCCCAGGCAGUUUUACACCCCUGUUGUUCCCGAUGCCUCCAGUAGAGGGAGGCAGUGCAGUAUUUUUUUAAGCCUUUAUAACUAUACCACACUCAACCAUAAUUGCAUUCAAUUACAUUUAAUAUAAUGCUAUAAUGUUCUAGUUUAAACAAUUAAACUAUCAUAUAUAUAUAAAUAUAUGCAAAGAAACUCACAAUUUUAAAUGGUCUACUGAUUUUUAUUUAUAUAGCUAUACAGUGCAUUUUGUAUAUUAGCUAUGAAGUUUGCAUUGCACAUGCAAUAAUAUUGUUGUUUUCUAAUAUUUGUUGUUACAAUUUGUUACAAAGAAAAUAAUAAAAUAUGGGAAAGUCGGUAUCACAAUUUGUAGCUGCAAAUAAAAAAUAAAUAAAAAUGUCUUGGUCCUUUUGUUUUACCUUGUUAUAAUUCUUAAAGAAUAAAUCAAAUAUAUAAAAACAUAUUUUGAUAAGUUUUCGCAUUGGUCUAGGUAAUAUAUAAAAUGGCAUGAUUUUUUUAUUUAUUUAUUUUUUUGCUUUUCAUUUGCCAUUCUUUCCUUUUUUGGGGGAUUAAGAAUUUUUAGAUAUUUGGUCUAGAAGCAGAUCAAACUUUUAAGUGCGUAAAGGAUUUUUGCAGAGUAUUUAUACAUAACUAUUUGUUUAUUUUUUUAGUGAGCAUGAAGAAUUUGAUGCAAGGAUUCAGCUUCAUUUUAAGAAAGCUGCCAAUCUAAUGAUAUUGUUGUCAAUAAAUAAAUGUAAAAAAAGAAA